AAGGAUUUAAGUUAACUUAAACUAAUAACCUUCAAAGUUGUAAAUAGAACAUUCUAAGCCUUA
rnacentral:tRNA from 1 species